ACAGGGCUUGGGGGGCCAUCAGUGGGCAACGGUGUGCCCUCGGCUGAGACUCGAUAAAGUUCCCCAGGUGGAAGAUGUAGAAUCGAGGGGCUCCUGCUUUCACUGGAAAAUGCUCUUUGGACAGAGCAGCAUUAGCUCAGAUCUCCUUUGUUCUCUCCCAAAUUUACAGGUGGAGGGCGACACGACCUCUUCAACUGCCCCACCGUCCAGCAGUGAAAAUUAGCUGCAACAAAUGAUGCCAUCCGCUUUGAAUGUGUUAAAACUCCUGAAGAAGUUCUGGAAGAGAAAAACCUGAAACCACCUUCCCCACAGGACUCCCUAAAGACUGACAUUUUUGCCUGCUUGGUAGCCUCGGGAUUCCUGCUGAUCAUAGCUACAGUUUUCCAAAUUCUGAUUUUUUGUUAUGUUGAGUCAGUUUUUAUCCUACAACUGCCAAGGGAAGCAUUCUGCUAGGGGAAAGACCUGUUCAGCCAUACACCUUUGACUUUGCGUACCAUAACAGCUGAUUCCACAAGCUCAGUUUCCACUCUGGAAACUUUCAAAGAUGGCUCCAUUCCUCUGGGUUCUGUGCCUACUUUUGAGAAUGAACCAAGUUUAUGCCAAGAGGAGUAACCAAAAUGCCCUCCCAGUCUGGGGAUUUUGCAGCCAGGGCCAUGUGUUAGAGGCUGUCAAACCAGAGGUUGCCUGGAAUCACCAGUGUUACAUAGUAGGAUCACUUCGGGAGCUCCCCCCUAGUGUGGUGCUCUGUAUUAUAUUCUUGAAAAUUACAGAAUCGUGAAAUUUUACGAUCUCUGCCUAUGAGAAUUUAGGAUCCAGUUGCAAUUUUUUUUGUCAUUCCCCAUUAGAAUGGUCCAAGGGCAUAAAUGAGAAUACAUAUAUAUGAGUACUGAAAUUGAUUAUGAAUAAAUAAGUAAACACUAGAGUUA